GGCAGGCCAAUGGAGCUCUUUACACUCCAACUCUGAAAGGAGCUGAAGGAAGGCCACGGCUGCUAGUUCAUGAAUACCCCCUGGGUACGCUCGAUUGCAAAGCAGAGGGUGCGCACUCUAAGGGUUUGCAUGACCUAGGAGACGAGGUUGCCUUGGAUCUUUUAGGUAUUGGGGUGAAGGGAGCUCCUAUGGUCUCUCUC
rnacentral:pre_miRNA from 1 species